rnacentral:misc_RNA from 1 species
GAUGGGGAGAGGGAAUAGACAAUGAGAACCACCAAAAGCAUACAAAUUGACACUGGGGACAUCACGCCAAUUAUCUCGACCCCGAUGGACUCCAAAAUGCUCGACUCCAUGGUUAGUUUGAUUUCGGCUGAGGAAUUUCGUCGAGCAAAUGGUAGGUUUUGGGGCGGAUUGGGGUGUUUAAGGCAUUUGGGAGACUUGGGG